rnacentral:rRNA from 1 species
CCUACGGGGGGCAGCAGUGGGGAAUAUUGCACAAUGGGGGAAACCCUGAUGCAGCGACGCCGCGUGAGUGAAGAAGUAUUUCGUUACGUAAAGCUCUAUCAGCAGGGAAGAAACACUGACCUUACGGUCAGUAGACUGUACCUAAGGAGGAAGCCCCGGCUAACUAUGUGCCAGCAGCCGCGGUAAUACAGAGGGGGCAAGCGUGAUCCGGAAUUAUUGGGGGUAAAGGGUGCGUAGGCGGAAGAACAAGUUGGUUGUGAAAUCCCUCGGCUGAACUGAGGAACUGCAACCAAAACUAUUCUCCUAGAGUGUCGGAGAGGAAAGUGGAAUUCCUAGUGUAGCGGUGAAAUGCGUAGAGAUUAGGAGGAACACUAGUGGCGAAGGCGACUUUCUGGACGAUAACUGACGUUGAGGCACGAAAGUGUGGGGAGCAAACAGGAUUAGAUACCCCAGUAGUC